rnacentral:rRNA from 1 species
AUUGAACGCUGGCGGCAUGCCUUACACAUGCAAGUCGAACGGUAACGGGCCUUCGGGUGCCGACGAGUGGCGAACGGGUGAGUAAUACAUCGGAACGUGCCCGAUCGUGGGGGAUAACGAGGCGAAAGCUUUGCUAAUACCGCAUACGAUCUACGGAUGAAAGCAGGGGACCGCAAGGCCUUGCGCGGACGGAGCGGCCGAUGGCAGAUUAGGUAGUUGGUGGGAUAAAAGCUUACCAAGCCGACGAUCUGUAGCUGGUCUGAGAGGAUGAUCAGCCACACUGGGACUGAGACACGGCCCAGACUCCUACGGGAGGCAGCAGUGGGGAAUUUUGGACUAUGGGCGCAAGCCUGAUCCAGCCAUGCCGCGUGCAGGAUGAAGGCCUUCGGGUUGUAAACUGCUUUUGUACGGAACGAAAAGCCUUCUUUUAAUACAGGAGGGUCAUGACGGUACCGUAAGAAUAAGCACCGGCUAACUACGUG